UUUUAACUGUGAGUUUGCCUGUCGGCAAACGUCGUGUAUUGUAUGCCGUUUCUCACUUCGUUGCGAAACGGCGGAAAAUAAGCAAUGCUCAAAAAUUGAUAUUUUUUCCGCUUGCUUAUUUUAUAA
rfam:Treponema pedis str. T A4, complete genome.